rnacentral:rRNA from 1 species
AUUGAACGCUGGCGGCAGGCCUAACACAUGCAAGUCGAACGAGUGGCGGACGGGUGAGUAAUGUCUGGGAAACUGCCUGAUGGAGGGGGAUAACUACUGGAAACGGUAGCUAAUUCCUCAUACUAUCAGAUGUGCCCAGGUGGGAUUAGCUUGUUGGUGGGUGAACGGCUCACCAAGGCGACGAUCCCUAGCUGGUCUGAGAGGAUGACCAGCCACACUGGAACUGGGACACGGUCCAGAGUCCUACGGUAGGCAGCAGUGGGGAAGAUUGCACAAGGGGCGAAAGCCUGAUGCAGCCAGGCAGCGUGUAUGAAGAAGGCCUUCGGGUUGUAAAGUACUUUCAGCGGGGAGGCGGUACCCGCAGAAGAAGCACCGGCUAACUCCGUGCCAGCAGCCGCGGUAAUAC